rnacentral:rRNA from 1 species
AGAUUGAACGCUGGCGGCAGGCCUAACACAUGCAAGUCGAGCGGCAGCACGGGUACUUGUACCUGGUGGCGAGCGGCGGACGGGUGAGUAAUGCCUAGGAAUCUGCCUGGUAGUGGGGGAUAACGCUCGGAAACGGACGCUAAUACCGCAUACGUCCUACGGGAGAAAGCAGGGGACCUUCGGGCCUUGCGCUAUCAGAUGAGCCUAGGUCGGAUUAGCUAGUUGGUGAGGUAAUGGCUCACCAAGGCGACGAUCCGUAACUGGUCUGAGAGGAUGAUCAGUCACACUGGAACUGAGACACGGUCCAGACUCCUACGGGAGGCAGCAGGUGGGAAUAUUGGACAAGUGGGCGAAGCCUGAUCCAGCCAUGCCGCGUGUGUGAAGAAGGUCUUACGGAUUAGUUAAAGCUACUUUAAGGUUGGGAGGAAGGCAGUUAACCUAAUACGUAUCUUGUUUGACGUUACCGACAGAAUAAGCACCGCUAACUCUGUG